rnacentral:rRNA from 1 species
UACGGAGGGGGCGAGCGUUAUUCGGAAUUACUGGGCGUAAAGCGCGCGUAGGCGGCUGUCUAAGUCGGGUGUGAAAGCCCCGGGCUCAACCUGGGAACUGCAUUCGAUACUGGACGGCUAGAGUAUGAGAGAGGGAGGUAGAAUUCCACGUGUAGCGGUGAAAUGCGUAGAUAUGUGGAGGAAUACCGGUGGCGAAGGCGGCCUCCUGGUUCAAUACUGACGCUGAGGUGCGAAAGCGUGGGGAGCAAACAGG